rnacentral:rRNA from 1 species
GACGAACGCUGGCGGCGUGCUUAACACAUGCAAGUCGAACGGUAAGGCCCUUCGGGGUACACGAGUGGCGAACGGGUGAGUAACACGUGGGUAAUCUGCCCUGCACAUCGGGAUAAGCCUGGGAAACUGGGUCUAAUACCGAAUAGGACCUCCGGAUGCAUGUCUGGAGGUGGAAAGCUUUUGCGGUGUGGGAUGGGCCCGCGGCCUAUCAGCUUGUUGGUGGGGUGAUGGCCUACCAAGGCGACGGCGGGUAGCCGGCCUGAGAGGGUGUCCGGCCACACUGGGACUGAGAUACGGCCCAGACUCCUACGGGAGGCAGCAGUGGGGAAUAUUGCACAAUGGGCGAAAGCCUGAUGCAGCGACGCCGCGUGGGGGAUGACGGCCUUCGGGUUGUAAACCUCUUUCACCAUCGACGAAGGUCUGGGGUUCCUCAGAUUGACGGUAGGUGGAGAAGAAGCACCGGCCAACUACGUGCCAGCCGCCGCCGUAA